GAUACGCCUCGCUUUCGUCCACAGAAUAAACCGCCAAACUGUGUGUCCGCGGGUGAGCGCGCAGGCUAGGGUUAGGGUUCCUAGACGCCGUCGCUUGGGCGCGUAACGCGAUGGCCGCAGCCACACCCCACUCGCCGUCGCUUGGGCGCGUAACGCGAUGGCCGCAGCCACACCCCACUCGCCGCCGCCGCCGCAGCUUUCAUCGCCCUUCCUGGAGUAUAUUAGGGCCCCCGGCGGCCUCGACAAGGUCGUGCUCCGUGGCAGGCGCAGCUGCUCCGUGGAGAUCCGUCUUUUUGGAGGUCAAGUAACUUCAUGGAAGAAUGACCAUGGCGAGGAGUUGCUUUUUGUCAGCAGCAAGGCCAUCAAGCCUCCAAAACCGUUUCGUGGUGGGAUACCUAUUUGCUUUCCCCAGUUUGGAACUCAGGGAAAUCUUGAGCAACAUGGAUUUGCAAGAAAUCGGCUUUGGGCUAUUGAUGAUAAUCCACCCCCUUUACCAGUAAAUCCUGCAAUUAAAGCUUUUGUUGAUCUUAUUCUGAAGCCUAGUGAAGAUGAUUUAAAGAUGUGGCCACACAGUUUCGAGUUUCGCUUGAGAAUUGCUCUUGGUGCUGGUGGAGAUUUGAGUCUCACGUCUCGAAUCAGGAAUACCAACACUGAUGGAAGACCUUUUUCUUAUACAUUUGCAUUUCACACAUACUUCUCUGUUUCUGACAUAAGUGAAGUACGUGUCGAAGGGCUGGAAACAAUGGACUACCUUGACAACAUGAAGGGAAAGGAGCGUUUCACAGAGCAAGGAGAUGCUAUUGUAUUUGAAUCAGAAGUUGAUAAGGUAUAUCUUGCUGCACCCUCGAAAGUUGCAAUUAUUGAUCAUGACAUGAGAAGAACAUUCGUCGUGACAAAAGAAGGACUUCCAGAUGCUGUUGUUUGGAACCCUUGGGAUAAGAAGGCAAAAGCUAUGCAAGAUUUUGGGGAUUCAGAAUACAAGCACAUGCUUUGUGUGGAGCCUGCAGCCGUUGAGAAGCCAAUUAGCCUCAAGCCUGGUGAAGAGUGGAAAGGAAGGCUUGGGCUCUCCGCUGUUCCUUCCAGCUACUGUAGUGGGCAGUUAGAUCCAUUAAAGGUCCUUCAUGGUUGAGUUCUCACUUCUUCCUCUUGUACAGAAGCACUUCAUUGCCCUUUCCUAUUUGAUGCUGGGCUGACUCGGACAUUGCCUUGACCUUUCUUCCUUUUCAUCAUCCUCUAUCUUUUGCCCUUUUUGUAUCUACAAGUGAGUAGUAGGGCUGUUCUAAAAUAACAGACCACGUCAGUUGUUUUUAGCCCAGAGCAGGUCAACUCGUCCGUAAUCAAGUCCAUCAGUCUAAAGUAACGUUUCGUGUGGUUCAGUGGCCAUACUGAGGAAUGUUACCAUGUGGUGCAGUUGUAGCAUUUUGUGUUAAUAUGUACUCCCUCUGUUCGGAAUUACUCGUUCAAAAAAUGAAUGUAUCUAGAUGUAUUUUAGUUGUAGAUACAUCCAUUUUUGUGACAAGUAAUUCCGAACGGUGGGAGCAGUAGCAUUUUCUUCCUGCAAAAAAAUUUAUGUAGCCAUGUCAUUUUUUUUUGAGAACCGCCCUCAAGGCAUU
rnacentral:rRNA from 1 species